AGAUUUUACUUCACAUUCCUCUUUGUUCUCCGUGCAGUGACUAAAGCAGCAGAUUACUUGGAGCAGGCUGAGUAUGACACUGGUAAUCAUGAGGAAGACCUGAAAACGCAGUCUUUGAUGAGGCAGCUACUCUACAAUCCUAAACUCCAAGAUUCAUGUCCUCUACCAUUUGAUGAAGCAAAGCUCUGGAAAGGUCAAAGCGGACCCCCACUAAAGCAACAGAUUCAAAACCAAUUCAGAAACAUUAGUGCAUCAAUGGAUUGUGUGGGCUGCGACAAGUGUCGGCUUUGGGGAAAGCUUCGGGUUCUUGAUCU